CUCCCCCCUCCCACGUUCCCGCUCGCUGAGCCUCCACUUUCGGUCUUUGCGGCCCUUUCUUCCUCUCCGUGCGGCGUGUGUGUCCUGAGCGCCAGUCUGCGUUUUGUCUCCUGCAUUUAGAGGACAGUUCGUUACCUACCAGGAGUGUCUCCGACUGUGGGCAUCCCCUCCCUGGGUUGUUCUUUAAGCCACAAAAAGCUGCACCCAAGCUUGUUUGAC
rnacentral:lncRNA from 1 species